UACGGAGGGUGCGAGCGUUGUCCGGAAUCAUUGGGCGUAAAGGGCGCGUAGGUGGCCACUUCAAGCGUGCGGUGAAAGUCGGGGGCCCAACCCCUGAUCGGCCGUGCGAACUGGGGGGCUGGAGCACUGUAGAGGCAGAUGGAAUUCCGGGUGUAGCGGUGGAAUGCGUAGAGAUCCGGAAGAACACCGGUGGCGAAGGCGGUCUGCUGGGCCAAGACUGACGCUGAGGCGCGACAGCGUGGGGAGCAAACAGG
rnacentral:rRNA from 1 species